rnacentral:rRNA from 1 species
UACGAAGGGGCUAGCGUUGUUCGGAAUUACUGGGCGUAAAGCGUGCGCAGGCGGUUCGUUGUGUCGGUGGUGAAAGCCCCGGGCUUAACCUGGGAAUGGCCAUGGAAACUGGCGAACUGGAGUGUGGCAGAGGGGGGUGGAAUUCCGCGUGUAGCAGUGAAAUGCGUAGAGAUGCGGAGGAACACCGAUGGCGAAGGCAGCCCCCUGGGCUAGCACUGACGCUCAGGCACGAAAGCGUGGGGAGCAAACAGG